AUGAGUUUGUAUCACUGUGGUACACGUUCGGUGGAGGAACCAGACUGGAUGUUGGAAGUUUUUGUACGACGACUCAAUGAGUUUGUAUCACUGUGGUGGACUUUUGGUGGAGGAACCAGACUGGAUGUUGGAAGUGAUGCCCGUCCCACCCUGACGGUGCUGCCCCCCUCCAUUAAAGAGCUGGACCAGGGCAAGGCCACACUCACUUGUCUGGCCAACAAGGGCUUCCCCUCAGACUGGAGUCUGACCUGGAAGGUGGACGGCAGCAGCAGCAGCUUGGAUCAGAGCAGGAGCCCUGCGGCGCUGCAGAAGGACGACCUCUACAGCUGGAGCAGCACCCUGAGGCUGACUGCAGACCAAUGGAGGAAGGUCGGCUCUGUGACCUGUGAGGCCACCCAGGGCUCCCAGAUUCCACUCUCAGAGACACUGAGGAGAGACCAGUGUUCCCAGUCCUGA